rnacentral:lncRNA from 1 species
AAUCUUGUCAAUGCGAUUUCAUUCUUUGUAUUACUUUUGAGCUAGAUGAUACACCCUACAUUUCUACAAUCCCACGAGCUAUAUGAAAUCCACCCUUGACUCGGCGGCCAAGCCCCCAAUCCAAGUUUGCCGAAAGAAUUGGGGUGUCAGCAAGGGGGGCACACGCAAGAUCACAAAGCAGGGUGUCAUAAUCCCCAAUCAAGUCAACAUGUCAUGGUAGUGCACAAGAUCACAAAGCAGGGCUCCUAACCAUAAAUCCCAAUUUGAAACGACAUGAAUCAAGGUACACAAGAUCACAAAGCAUGGUACCAUAAUCCCGUGUCGGCAGAUCACGGUUUCUAGCAUAGAGUCUUUCAACUCGUACUUUCUUUAGGUAACCAUCUAACUCUCUUUAAGCCCAUUUUUAACCUUUUCUAAACAUGCAACUUUCUGAAUUCAAAAUCUAAUAAUCUGAGUGAAAUCUGAUUUCUAUUCAAUUCUGUGUCUGUCAUGGCAUUCUCUGAUUUGGUAUCGUCAUAACAAGACUUGCAAGUCAUGUUUCUGAGCCAUAAAAUAUCAUAUCAUAGUUCUCUAUCAAAACAUUAAGUUUAGACCACCAUACUUCAAAUAAUUCUAGAAGAUUCUUUCUUCCAAAAAUAUUUAUCAAAUUAUGCAAAGAUCAUUCUUUUUCAAUCAUUUCAACAAACAUGUGGUGGUCAUGUAUCCUUGGCAAACCAUGCAAUUCUUUCAUUAUAUAUAUAUAAAUUCAAUAUUUAUCAACAUGUAAAAAAACCCCUCUCAUCAAUUUAAAAUCAAUCUUAAAUAGUUCAACAAUAGUCAAGAACAUUGAUAAAAUGCUUCUAAAUAAUAUUCUAAAAUCAAGAGGUGUUGCAACAUGAGAGGGAAUGUAAAUAAUCAUGUUAUAAAUUCAAUUAACAACUUAAACACAUACACACAUUUAUAAGAUUACAAAUCAAUUUGGGGGAAAGGCCUCAUGACCAAAUCAAUAUCAUCAAAAACUUUAAAAGCAUAAAUCUAAUUAUAAAUCAAAAAUCCCUUUUUCUAAAUUCAUGAUUUCUAAAUCUUUAACAUGAUUAAGAAGAAUUUACCAUGCCCAUGUAGAUAUAGGAAAACCCCACGUACCUUAGAUAAUUUAGUUUGAAAGAUGAAACCCGGAUCUUGAUCCUUUUCUUGGAAUUCUUGAUCUUAGGGAUGAGUUCUUAAUCUUUGGGAAAAGGAUUAGGGUUGGAUUUUUGAGAGGAAUUGAUUAGUUUGUGAUGUAGUUUGCACAAAUACUGAUUUUAUUGUGGCUGAGGUGAGAUGAGGUAAAAGACAAAAAUACCCCUAAGGAAACAAAAAAGGUUGCAACAGUCCCUUAGUUGACAGGCUGAUAUGCUGAAAUAAACUGGGCAUAACUUUUUACCUCGAUGUUGGAUUUGGAUGAAAUGAGUUGUGUUGGAAAGAGAACUCAAAUACCUUUCAUUUGAUAUAUAGCAAUCCACCCAGUUCGUUAAAUAACAGAAGAUAUGGUCGACGAAAUUUGACCCAAGUUGAAGUGUCCACUAAAAUUUAAUCGAUAGAAUUGUUUUCAACUCGUCUUCGAGUUAGGGGAUUCUUGCGAUCUCAAUUCAUAUUCAAAGGUUUUCCAACGCUAUAGGAAUGAUCAAAACACAUACAUUAACAAGGAAUAAUUUAGUUCGGGUCUAUACGCAUAGGAACGAUGGUCUAAAUUGAAGCCCGAAAGUACAGGGUGUUACAUUAUCCCCCUUGGGAUCAUUCGUCCCCAAAUAAUGGGAACGUAACAUCGCAUUGACCAUUUUUCCUCAACAAAAUAUGCAAAGUCAGUCAACGAGAUUUAUGAUAACCCAUAGGGAAACGUGUAAGCACGAAACAUGUGAUAGUGAAACUUGAUGUCGACAUGAUCUUGGCAUGUGUUUUAUAGCACAUGAUCAAAACAUUGUAAGAAAUGAUUUUUUCUUCUCUUAUAAUAAUCCUCGGCCUAAUUAAGAUUGGUACAAUAAAUGAGAUGAGAUUCUCGCGGGACAUAAGAAUAUUAACAUUCUCCAUCUUCCAAGAUACAAUGAAAAGACUUAAACUUGGAGACACUAUUUGUCUACGCCCCAAAUAAUAAAUUACAUGCCUCAUCGCUCCCAACUUACAAUUCUUCCCAUACACAUCUACCCACAUGAAUUCGAUUCCACUGUAAUAUACUUCUAUGUCGAAGCCUCACUCGAGGAAAAAAGGUGCUAACUUAAGCUACGGGUCGCUGUACUCUACAUCUUAUCCAGAAAUCAUCUCACCUCAUCACUAUAAUCCAACAAACUACUCAAGUCCUAACUUUAACUCAAGGAAUACUAACCACAUAUUUAGCAUUUUAAUUGGAUCAUGAAAUAGCUUCAUCCAAAUUACAGUUUGAGGGGAAAAAGCUGGAAGAUUGCAAAAUGACCUGCCUGAGACACUGUAAAGCUGUGGUUUUCAGAGAUGACUCGGAUGAGGCUAGAAGUGGGAGCUGCUUAUUAAUGAAUGAGGUCUUUUCUCUCAUAGAUGAGGAAAGAACGGACAAGAGAGUAUUUCUUAAGGUGCAGAAUUCCUCAAAAGCGCAGAAAAAGUCUCCAAUCAUUUCUGGAGAAAAAAAAAAAAAAUCAAGAUCUCACAUGGUGAUAAUAGGAUCUACUCUUGCCGCUUUCUUUGGGAUAAUUGUAAGUAUCACUGCUUGCUUUGUUCUUUUCAAAAAGAGGACACGCGAUUCCAGAAAGUCGGGAGAUUUGUUUGGAUCUCGAACCAAUCUUACCUGGAAUGCUAACUUGGUUCACUUACAAUGAAUUAAAAUAAUAACAGAAGAUUUCAGCAGAAAGCUGGGGGAAGGAGGAUUUUGAUGCUCUAUAUGAAGGAACAAUGAGUAAUGGCAUUAAAAUAGCUGUAAAGAGUCUAGAUGGUCUAGGUCAUGUGAUAACAGUCAUUCCUAACAGAAGUAAAGAUAGUCUGUGGCAUUCACCAUGUCAACCUGGUAAAACUCAUUGGAUUUGUGCUGAAAAAAAAAAACAAAGGCUUUUGAUCUAUGAACACAUGGUAAAUGGAUCACUAGAUAAGUGGAUUUAUAAUAAGAAUCAAGAAAAUGGGCUUACAUGGCAUACAAGGCGAAGGAUAAUAACAGAUAUUGCCAAAGGAUUAGCUUAUCUUCAUGACGAAUGCAGCCAGAAGAUAAUUCAUUUGGAUAUCAAACCACAACAUCCUGCUAGAUCAAAAUUUCAAUGAUAAGAUAUCUGAUUUUUGGGAUGUCAAAGCUAAUUGAAACAGACAAAAGAAAAAUUGAACUAGAAUGAGAGGGACAAGAGGAUAUUUAGCCCCUGAAUGGCUGAACUCAGUAAUCACUGAGAAAGUGUACGUGUAUGCAUUUGGUAUUAUGCUCUUGGAAGUUCUCUGUGCGCGGAAAAAUUUAGACUUAUGAAGAUGUCCAUUUGCUAACUGUUUUUGAAAGAAAAGCGGAUCAACAACAACUCAUGGAUAUGGUUGACAAAAACAAUAAGGAAAUGCAGAUGCACAAAGAAGUAGUGACAGAAAUGAUGAGCAUUGAUGCGUGGUGUCUACAGGGCGAUUUCACCAAGAGGACUUCCAUGUCAUUUGUGGUUAAAGCAUUGGAAGGUUUGGUGUCUGUUGAAACCAACUUGUAUUACGAUUUCACUAGACUACCUGAGGUUCAAGCUGGCAACCAACAGAGCGAAGCCACUGACAGUUCAAUAUUGCCUUCAGUAUUACAUCGAGUCUAAUCCACCUAAGUUUUACUAUGCUUCAAGUUCUCCGGAUAGUAUACAUUUCAGUUUUGAUAGUCAAACACUUACCGCUCUGCAAGAAUCUCCUACAUCACCAGCUCAAUUCAUAAAGCUUCAGCUUGAUGGGCAUUUACGGGUAUACCAAUGGGAUGAGAAAGUACUUAGAUUGGAAGUCAUAUCUGAUCUUUCCCUUUCAUAUGGAGGAAACUGUGGGUAUCCAACUGUCUGUGGAAGAGAUGGCAUUUGCACUGGUGACGGGCGAUGUAGUUUCCCGCCAGAGGAAAAUUUCUUCAUGCCAUCAGAUUAGAGGAAAAAGAAAAAAAAAAUGUAGGAUGUUCACAGGUGAUAUCCAUUAACUGCAACUCUUUGCAGAAUCAUAGUUUCAUAUAGCUCAGGAAUACCACAUAUUGGAGCACAGAGGGACAUUAUAGCUUCUUGUUUUGAGGUCGAAACAUGACAUGAGUUACAUCGAGAGCUCAAACCAUUAGGUACAAGCAAGACCUGAAUACAUAAGACAUAGAUAGAUGUCCGUUUAAAUCGAAGUAGGAGGAGCUUGCUUGAAUAGGAUUAGGAAAUGGUUUAUCAUAAUUCUUACUUGAAACUAGACACUACAAGAAACUUCGGAAACUGCUGCAAUCUAUCAUUUCCCCCUUUCAGAAACACUAAUCGUAAUUACUUCUAACUCCCAAAGUCAUCAACUUACAACUAACAUUUUCAUGGGCAUAGACACCCACACUUUUAAGCUCUUAAUACUCCAUCUUCAAUUUCUUAGAAUACUAUUAUUACUCCUUUAAUCACAUAACUUACAACUUAACAUAAGCUCUAAAACUAUAACAAGGCGCGCAUUGCCUACCUAUAUCUCCUCAAUUCAACUAUAAAGAACACCAUACAACAACUUUCCCGACUUCUCCAUAAUACAAGAUUCAAGAACAAAAUCUAGGCACACGUGACACCCGUACACAUCACCUUAUCUAACAACAUACUACCUCAGGGUUCAACUUAUUCUAAUAUACCCACGCUCUUAUCCACUUAAUGAUUCAACAACAAUUCAUCAUUAUAACACUAGUGUCAUGCAUAUAUACAUAUCACAAUUACCACUUAAACUUUUCAUAAAUCAUCAACUUAGGCUUUUUCACAAAUCACAUCAAGCCCACUAAUUCAUUCCCACAAAACAUACAUCAUUAAUCUUAAGUUACUAUUCUUACCAUCACAUUUUACAUCUAAAGUUCAAGCCUAUAGUCUAGCAUCAAUCAUCUACCGCCGAUGAAGCAUGUAACAUAAUAUACUAGUCCAUCAAAUUGGGAAAUCAAUCCAAAAUACUUCAUUUAAUUUAACUACGACCUACAAUCAUUUCCCCUCGAAAACAUUACUACUACACCUCAAAAUCUACUACAUACUUUCUCACAAGCAGUGCUCGUUUACAACUACUAGAGGAAAGACAAUCAAAGGGGUGAGGUCACAUAAUAAGGAUGGUCGAUCUCAAUCUUAUAAUACAACCCAUUUCAAUCUUAUCAACAUAUUCUAAUUUCUCACAUCAUAUUUACUUAGCCAUGUAUAUAUUCUCACUAUCACCAAAUUCUAGAAACACCAAUGAGUCUUUACCCAUAACUUAUUGACUAGUCUACCUUUUUCCAUUCACAACCUAUAAAUCAUUUCUAUAACCACCAUAACUAUCCACUUUGAGCUCCUUCUCUAUUUUCAAUAAAUAAUAAUCAUAUCCAGUCACUUCCUUCACAAACUACCAUACAAUCUACAAAUAUUGCCACACAUUAGUCUAUCACUAUAAAAUGGCAAACCAUCCUCCAAUCAAUGGUUAUACAACUAAAACUAUUUAUUUACACAAAAGUCACCCUCACUCUGACUUCUAGCCUUGUGACUUCAUAUCACCAACUUCUUGACCCAUUUACUACCAAUAGAUCAUGACACUUUUUUAAUUUCUACUACUCGGGUGGAAAUAUAGUUCCGACAUUCUGCUAAACAUCAUUAGCCUUAUGCAUGACAUCCACAACAAGAAUUUUGAAAGAAAACGGAAUAGACUUUGUAUCUUAGGAUGAAAAGCACGAUUUCAUAAGAAUAAAAGCAUACACUCAAAUCAAUACAACCUAAAGACUAAUGGACUCCUCCCAAGUCCUCAUGCUGUCUCAUAACUUUACGGAUGACUCAAUCAGAGAGAACCACAUUGUUGAGGAGCUAGACUCUUAGACUUGUAUCGCCUCGACAGUGAGGCAUGGCCCAUGAAAUUAGAACAAGGAAUGAAUUUAUAUAACUCUCUCAUGGAAAACUCUAUAGCAUGAACUAGAGUAUGAAAGAAUAAGAAACAACUCCUAAAUGCCCGGUAGCCUCCUGAUUAUAAGUGCGGUGCAUGACACACCCAUAAACAAGACUCUACUAGACACGAUUUCGCAGACACCAUGCGACUAUGAACCGUGCUAUGAUACCAAGUUUGUCACGACACGAGUUGGGGCCUUAGCCGCGACGAGCAUCCCGAACCAUGAAGGCCCGGGCGCCCCUUUCUAUCUGACAAUCGUGAACACCAUUCAUAUACAAUAAAGAAAAAUGUGGAAAACUAUUACAACGGAAUCAUGGUCAACUUUUAUUUCAAACUACUCAAUACUGAAAUAAGUUCGUAAAGAUCAACAUCUAACACUUGUCUGCGAAAUUUAUACAUAUAUAACAUAGGAGAGAGAAAGUCAUAAAAUAUUAUGCAUGAAAUAGUUUAAAAUACAUGGGCCUUUCAAAAGAUCUUAAAACAAUCUUGUCAAUGCGAUUUCAUUCUUCGUAUUACUUCUGAGCUAGAUGGUACACCCUACAUUUCUACAAUUCCACGGGCUAUAUGGAAUCCGCCCUUGACUAGGCGGCCAAGCCCCCAAUCCAAGUUUGCCGCAAGGAUUGGGGUGUCAGCAAGGGGGGAACACGCAAGAUCACAAAGCAGGGUAUCAUAAUUCCCAAUCAAGUCAACAUGUCAUGGUAGUGCACAAGAACACAAAGCAGGGUUCCUAACCAUAAAUCCCAAUUUAGGACGACAUGAAAGCAUAGAGUCUUUCAACUCAUACUUUCUUCGAGUAACCAUCUAACUCUCUUUAAGCCCAUUUUUAACCUUUUCUAAACAUGCAACUUUCUGAAUUCAAAAUCUAAAAAUCUGAGUGAAAUCUGAUUUCUAUUCAAUUCUGUGUUUGUCAUGGCAUUGUCUAUUUGGUAUCGUCAUAACAAGACUUGCAAGUUAUGUUUCUGAGCCAUAAAAUAUCAUAUCACAGUUUUCUCUUUCAAAACAUAAAGUUUAGACCACCAUACUUCAAAUAAUUCUAGAAGAUUCAUUUUUCCAAAAAUAUUUAUCAAAUUAUGCAAAGAUCAUUCUUUUCAAUCAUUUCAACAAACAUGUGGUGGUCAUGUAUUCUUGACAAACCAUACAAUUCUUUCAUUAUAUAUAUAUAUAUAUAUAUAUAUNNNNNNNNNNNNNNNNNNNNNNNNNNNNNNNNNNNNNNNNNNNNNNNNNNNNNNNNNNNNNNNNNNNNNNNNNNNNNNNNNNNNNNNNNNNNNNNNNNNNNNNNNNNNNCAAAUAAUCAUGUUCUAAAUUCAAUUAACAACUUAAACACAUACAUACAUAUAUAAGAUUACAAAUCAAUUUAGGGAAAAGGCCUCAAGACCAAAUCAAUAUCAUCAAAAACUUUAAAAGCAUAAAUCUAAUUAUAAAUCAAACAUCCCUUUUUCUAAAUUCAUGAUUUCUAAACCUUUAACAUGAUUAAGAAGAAUUUACCAUGCCCAUGUAGAUAUAGGAAAACCCCACGUACCUUAGAUAGUUUAGUUUGAAAGAUGGAACCCGGAUCUUGAUCCUUUUCUUGGAAUUCUUGAUCUUAGGGAUAGUUCUUAAUCUUUGGGAAAAGGAUUAGGGUUGGAUUUUUGAGAGGAAUUGAUUAGUUUGUGAUGUAUUUUGCCCAAAUACUGAUUUUAUGUCGUGUUGUGGCUGAGGUAAGACGAGGGAAAAGACGAAAAUACCCCUAAGGAAACAAAAAAGGUCGCAACAGUC